CUGUAAUCGCUUCGAAGUAUCAGGCGAACAGAAACGUCAGAAUCUAUAUAUGAAAGUGUAAUGUUACUCGUGCACAAUGUAUGGUGUGACUAUAACGAAUUCAUUUAACCUCAAUAUGCUUAUAACUUGUAAGGAAACAAGAAAGAAAAAAUUAAAUGAAAUAUAUUAUUGGUGAAUUAUGUAAAGGCAUACCAUUUGUUGUAUUUAACUGUCUUCCCAGAAAUAUACAUUAAACAGAAAAACAGAGAUGAUGAAUAGAAGAUUGAUGUUAUGGAUUCUUUCACUGUUGCAAGUAUACAUACUUUGGAGAAUUAUAAUUGUUUGGGAUGGUAACAGGAUUGUCCCUGUACUUCAGAGAUAAAGAGACAAGUUCUGAUACAUAUAUUAAUAGAAGUAUGCAUUAUUUAUGCUGAUUUCCAAAUGAUGAUGUCUUUAAAAAUAUAAAUAUAGGUAAUUCCAAGAAAAUGUGUGAAUAGAAUAGAAUGACAUGAUAAAUGCCAUUGAUAAAUCAAACUAGUAAUGCCAGUAUAUUAAACAUCAGUUGUGAUCACAUGAAAUCACAAAUGAAUUGAUUUCAAAGUGUUAUGGACUCCACUUGCAAAUAUAUAAACUCUAG